rnacentral:tRNA from 1 species
GAUGAAAUGGCUGAGUUUAGGCAAUAAAUUGUAAAUUUAUUUACGAAUAGAAUUCUUUCAUCAAAUUUAUUUAAAU